AGGAAGGCUUCCGCGACGGCAACGUUAAGGGGGCCUUUUUCUUUUGC
rfam:Rhizobium sp. Root708 contig_14, whole genome shotgun sequence.